rnacentral:lncRNA from 1 species
GUAUUUCCCAAUUGAGAAGCUAAUCAAGAGGGAUAAAUGUAAUAUGGAAUAUAUAUAUAUACUUUAGAAAUGUUCUGGAAGAUUGUGUAUAUGUUAUGUAACAGUUAAUCCACUCAUUUAAUAAUAGGUGACUUGCUAUUUUGAAGAAAUGCAUUGUAAGUUAUUUUUAAAAUAGUGAUAUGGUUUCGAUUUGUGUCCCUGCCUAAAUCUCAUUUCUAGUUAUAAUCCAGCCAUGUAAGAUAUGCCUGCUUCUCCUUUGCCUUCUGCCAUGAUUAUAAGUUUCCUGAGGCUUCCCCAGAAG